rnacentral:rRNA from 1 species
UCCGUAGGCGGACUAAUAAGUCAGGGGUGAAAUCCAACAGCUUAACUGUUGAACUGCCCUUGAUACUGUUAGUCUUGAAUUAUAUGGAAGUAGAUAGAAUGUGUAGUGUAGCGGUGAAAUGCUUAGAGAUUACACAGAAUACCGAUUGCGAAGGCAGUCUACUACGUAUAUAUUGACGCUAAUGGACGAAAGCGUGGGGAGCGAACAGGAUUAGAUACCCUGGUAGUC